CCUACGGGAGACAGCAGUGAGGAAUAUUGGUCAAUGGACGAGAGUCUGAACCAGCCAAGUAGCGUGAAGGAUGACUGCCCUAUGGGUCGUAAACUUCUUUUAUAAAGGAAUAAAACGAGGCACGUGUGCCUUUUUGCAUGUACUUUAUGAAUAAGGAUCGGCUAACUCCGUGCCAGCAGCCGCGGUAAUACGGAGGAUCCGAGCGUUAUCCGGAUUUAUUGGGUUUAAAGGGAGCGUAGAUGGGUUGUUAAGUCAGUUGUGAAAGUUUGCGGCUCAACCGUAAAAUUGCAAUUGAUACUGGCAGUCUUGAGUACAGUUGAGGUAGGCGGAAUUCGUGGUGUAGCGGUGAAAUGCUUAGAUAGCACGAAGAACCCCGAUUGCGAAGGCAGCUUACUAAACUGUGACUGACAUUGAUGCUCGAAAGUGUGGGUAUCAAACAGGAUUAGAUACCCGUGUAGUC
rnacentral:rRNA from 1 species